rnacentral:rRNA from 1 species
UACGAAGGGGACUAGCGUUGUUCGGAUUUACUGGGCGUAAAGCGCGCGUAGGCGGAUCGCUAAGUCAGGGGUGAAAUCCCAGGGCUCAACCCUGGAACUGCCUUUGAUACUGACGAUCUGGAGAUCGGGAGAGGUUGGUGGAAUUCCGAGUGUAGAGGUGAAAUUCGUAGAUAUUCGGAGGAACACCAGAAGCGAAGGCGGCCAACUGGCCCGAUACUGACGCUGAGGCGCGAAAGUCAGGGGAGCAAACGGG